rnacentral:rRNA from 1 species
UAAGGAAUAUUGGUCAAUGGACGCAAGUCUGAACCAGCCAUGCCGCGUGAAGGAUGAAGGUCCUCUGGAUUGUAAACUUCUUUUAUCUGGGACGAAAACGGGAUUUUUAUCUCAAUUGACGGUACCAGAGGAAUAAGCACCGGCUAACUUCGUGCCAGCAGCCGCGGUAAUACGAAGGGUGCAAGCGUUAAUCGGAAUUACUGGGCGUAAAGCGCGCGUAGGUGGUUUGGUAAGAUGGAUGUGAAAUCCCCGGGCUCAACCUGGGAACUGCAUCCAUAACUGCCUGACUAGAGUACGGUAGAGNGUGGUGGAAUUUCCUGUGUAGCGGUGAAAUGCGUAGAUAUAGGAAGGAACACCAGUGGCGAAGGCGACCACCUGGACUGAUACUGACACUGAGGUGCGAAAGCGUGGGGAGCAAACA